GAAGGAAGGAAGGAAGGAAGGAAGGAAGGAAGGAAGGAAGGAAGGAAGGAAGGAAGGAAGGAAGGAAGGGAUUCUCACAGCAUGUCUUCUCUUCCUCUAGAAGAUUCUCUCUCCCUUGUCACUUCAAUGUGGAUCUGGGCUGGAAAGCAGAGAAAAAACACUGGAUUUCUGAAAUCAAGCUGUUGGCAGAUUUCCCAUUUCCCUUCAAGAACAUCCCAGGAUAAACCAGCUAACAGAUGAAACUGGUGGAGAGAGGACAAAAAAAAUGUGAUAUGUUUGUAUUAAAAUUUCUUAGUAGAAGAACC
rnacentral:lncRNA from 1 species